GGGGUGUUAGCUCAGUUGGUUAGAGCGCUGCGUUGACAUCGCAGAGGUCAGAAGUUCGAGUCUUCUACAUCCCA
rnacentral:tRNA from 1 species